rnacentral:rRNA from 1 species
CAGUAGCCGCGGUAGUACGUAGGGUGCGAGCGUUAAUCGGAAUUACUGGGCGUAAAGCGUGCGCAGGCGGUUGUGUAUGACAGGUGUGAAAUCCCCGGGCUUAACCUGGGAACUGCGCUUGUGACUGCACAGCUAGAGUAUGGCAGAGGGGGGUGGAAUUCCACGUGUAGCAGUGAAAUGCGUAGAGAUGUGGAGGAACACCGAUGGCGAAGGCAGCCCCCUGGGCCAAUACUGACGCUCAUGCACGAAAGCGUGGGGAGCAAACAGGAUUAGAUACCCCAGUAGUCCCUGUCUCUUAUAC